UACGUAGGGUGCGAGCGUUAAUCGGAAUUACUGGGCGUAAAGCGUGCGCAGGCGGUUCGUUAAGUUCGAUGUGAAAGCCCCGGGCUCAACCUGGGAACUGCAUUGGAAACUGGCGAGCUUGAGUAUGGCAGAGGGGGGUGGAAUUCCGCGUGUAGCAGUGAAAUGCGUAGAGAUGCGGAGGAACACCAGUGGCGAAGGCGGCUUACUGGUCCAUUACUGACGCUGAGGUGCGAAAGCGUGGGGAGCAAACAGG
rnacentral:rRNA from 1 species